rnacentral:rRNA from 1 species
UACACACCGCCCGUCACACCAUGAGAGUUGGAGAUACCCGAAGCCUAUGAGCUAACUUUAGAGGCAGUAGUCGAAGGUAGAAUCAAUGAUUGGGGUGAAGUCGUAACAAGGUACC